AGACGAAGUCUGUCUAAAUGCCAAUUCCCUGAAGUUCAGCGCAUCGGUUGUCAUUUCAUACCUUAAUGCAUAUUUAUGCUGCGCCGAAAUAGGCUUCAUAAUUAACUCCCGGAGUCAUCCGCAGAGGUUAAAGGGACCCCGAAGAUUUGUGCAUUGAUUGGGUACCACGGCCGUGUGUGUGUGCGCGCGCGUGUGUGCGUGCGCCCCGUGCGAACCCAUUGAGAAGAAUAAUUAUUUUUCUCCACUGGAAGCUACAGCAGAGAAUCAGACAAGGAGGGAAGAGAGAGAGAGAGAGAGAGAGAGAGAGAGAGAGAGAGAGGUUGGAGAGGGAGAGAGAAAGAGACAAAGGAAGUGAGUGCGAGAGGAGACGGCUCAGCAUCCGAACUGUGGGCAAGCAAGAAAUAAGCGGGGCUGGAAGCCAUCAAAGGCAGAGAGGACCUUGGCUCCAGAUCCCAAGGAGCUCAGUAAGCCAGAGGCUGGAAGUCAGUCUCAAGCAGGCCAAGAAGGAGUUAAUCUCCAAGGAGAAUGAGGGCUUCUCCCAGACUGGAGGCCGAUGCCCAGCUUUGCUGCUGCCAACUCUGGGAAGAAGUCCUGGGAUCUGUAGUUUGUGUCACCACCCACCUCUGGCCUGCCUGUUUAUCAACACAGUCUUGGAGACUACAGUUCCCAGAAACCUGCAGAGGCCAGGCUUUGGGGGAAGGGGUGGGGUGUGAGGCUUGGUGGCAGCAGGAGGGAGAGGGAGGAGGUGGGGAGAGAAAACCCAAUUCACCCCCUUCCUUUUUAAUUCUUUCUCCUGGUGUGUCUGCUCCACCGCCCGAGCUAAUCCCCCAAAUCCGGUCUUCUAAGCCGCAGCUGCUUCCCUUCGCAGUGAUGAAUGGCUCGGGGAGGGAAGAUCUUCUCUGGUGAGCGUCCCCCCAGCCUGGCCUAGGGCAUGCCUCAGUUCACUUUCGCCUGCUUCUGUGGCCUCCACGGCUUCUGCAAGAUGAAGAGGAAGAAGGACGAAGUUCACAGAGAGCGGGAAACGGCAGUGUGAGCAGGACCAGGGCCCUUUCUUGGCCGCCAGCAGGUUCCAGGCCUGAGGGCACCCACUUCUGGCAGGACCUGCCCGGCCCUCCAGAGACCAAGAAGCCCUGCAGCGGCCUCAGGAGACAAACUUCUUUCCUGCCCUGAGGGCUCCGGGCACCCUGCUCAGGGGAACUCCCCGCCUCCAAGGGAUGUGCCGCCUUGAGCAGGGAGCAUUGCUCCGGGACAGGAAACUGGCUACGCAGCCAGAGGACCCGCCAGCCACCCUGGUCCCCGGGGACAUCUCGGGCAGCCCGGACAGGGUGGAAGUGUAAGACGAGCCUCCUCCAAACCCAGGAUGGAGUCUUUCCUGGGACCCCAGGGCCUGAGGCAGGAGCCUCUACAGAGCAGCAUCCCCAAGAGGGGAGUCCUUUCCUGUCCCCUCCCCGCAUUCUCCUGGUCCAGGUGCAGCCAGGCCCCAGGUGGGCAGCCUGGUCAUGAGUCAGACGGCAGAGUGGGGACAGUGAGGGACAGGCGAUGUCCUUGUGGCAGGAGGCCAGCCAUGAGUCCCCUCGGCACCUCCGCUCUUCCUUGCACACCAGUAGGCAGCUUUCCCUCCAGCCCUGGCCCCGUGGACCCUCUCCCACCAUACCUCCUUGUGGCAGCCAGAUAUGGGGGCCUGUUUCCCAGGCCCUGACUCCCCUUCUCAGGAACUGCCUUCCCGGGCCAGACUGUGCGACCCCCCUCCUGGACUAGACCGACUAGACUGUGUCCUCCCUCUAUUCUCCUGUCUUCCUGCUUCACCCACCUGCCUUUUCUUUCUCUUCUCAGAACCCAUAGAGAGGGAAAGGCUUGCAUGUUGUGCCUUUAGGGGACAGUGGGCAGAAGGGGCCCUCUAGGACUU
rnacentral:lncRNA from 12 species